rnacentral:SRP_RNA from 1 species
GCCGGGCGCGGUGGUGGGCGUCUGUAAUCCCAGCUACUCGGGAGGCUGAGGCAGGAGAAUCGCUUGAAUCCGGAAGACGGAGUCUGCAGUGAGCCGAGAUCACGCCACUGCACUCUCGCCUGGGUGACAGAGCGAGACUCUGUCUCAA